CCAUUUCAUUUAUUUUGUGUUCCUUCUUUCCUUUCCCCUGAGGGAGAUAACGGAACAAAGUCGGGCAAGUAGAGGAACACCGAUUUGAGUGAAAGAGUUUAACUCGUUUUACGGUAACGGAGCCGAGGAGACCGAGAAUACACACCCGGAAGGCUCAACUCAUUGAGUUAUCAUUUUGGGGGUCGUUAUGAGCUAGGAGCCAGACUAACCGCAUAGGAUAUCUUUUUGGACAACGGGGAUCAGUGCGGAGGAUCUUUUUGCAGUAGGGCCCACUCCUAGUAUAAGUAGUAAGUUCUUGUAGAAUGUUAUGAUUAAGUUACGACCUGAAACUUUUAUUUAGUUGGGUUAGUGAUAGGGUUGUGGAAAGUACUCUCUUGAGAGUUAUAUAUAUAUAUAUCAGAACCUGCUGAAUUGGUUAUAUGAUUUUGGUAUAGCUUGUUGAAUUGGUUAACUGUUUGGGAGGUGGAAAACAUGUUAUGAAUAAAUUGUUUAUGUGAUAAUAGAUAUCGAGAAAAUAUAGGGGAAAUUCUGUCGAAAUUUCAGGUCGUGACAUUGCUUUUGGUGGUUACAACACCAGGGGGUGCAAGCACUGUUUUCCUUUCGUGUAUUUGUAGGGUCUGAUAAUUUCGAAGUUUUUCUUUUUCGUUACAGGGGAGACUUAAGGAGAAGGAAUAUAAGAGAUGUAGGAAGCCCCAGUGAGGGUAAUGUGUCCACAACCUCUUGGCUGUAGGUCAAGCGAGAUUUUUUCAUGGAAUCCCCUUUCUCAGCUUGAAGCCAUAUUCAUUGCAUUGGUUGAAUUUCAAAUCGCCACAACUCAAUUUCCACAGAGCAUGUUCAGAUGAUCAAUGCUCCUUCCCAUAAUCUUCAAGUUAUUUGGAAGUAGUUUUAGUACUAUAUUUAUAUCACAUUAGCUAUAGAUAGAGUUACUUCCGUUUUUUA